GAUGAAGAACGCAGCGAAAUGCGAUAAGUAAUGUGAAUUGCAGAGUCUAGUGAAUCAUCGAAUCUUUGAACGCACAUUGCGCCCCUCGGUAUUCCGACGGGCAUGCCUGUCCGAGCGUCGUUUGCACACCCUCGAGCGGAGAGUUCGUCUCAUUCGGCUCGGUCUUGGGCCCUCGCCCCCCUUCUCUCGCGGGGGUGGGCCCCAAUGCCCGCGGCGGCCUCGAUGCGUCCCGCCGGAGCGUCCUCGUUGACGAACCGCUCCGGGCCGGUGUCUCUUGGCCCGCCGUCGCGACCUCGGAGUCGCAAACAUGCCAACACGCCUCGACCUCGGAUCAGGUAGGGAUACCCGCUGAACUUAAGCAUAUCAAUAAGCGGAGGA
rnacentral:misc_RNA from 1 species